CACAAAUGUCCACAAUGGUUUUUUCUGAAAUAAUAGAAUAAAAUGAGUGAUUAGCAUUGUGGGAAACACAAUUUUCUUUCUUUUCUUGUAGUUUGUUUUUUAAUUAUUCUUUUGUCUGAUCUGUAGUGUUGAGCCAUAAGCCUUAAUUCCCUUCAGAACACGUUUUCCAACAGGCACACGAGGACAAGACAGUUGAUUUCAUAUGAUAUGUGUCAUAAUGUUCUCAUUGAAGCUUUCACGCACACAAUACCGGAAUCAACACACGGUUCACAAGAACAAAAUAAAUAGCACAGCUUUUGACACAGGUUCAUAACGAUAAAAUCACCAGUUUUGCACGUUUUGUAUCUCAGUGCACACUCUUUGCUAAUACUGCAGUGUUUGAUUUGUUUUUUUCUUUUCUUUUUUUUUGUGAUGUUUGUGGCCUUUU